CAUCACGCGUGAACCGCCGCGCCGUGCACGCCGAGAUGGGGCGAGGCCAUCACCGCCGCCGCUUGCUGGCUCCACCGUCUUCGGUGCCGGUGGCGACGCGAGGGCUGGGCCACAGCAUGCGGGAGGACGGUCGCGGUUCGCCUGGCGCAGCGACUGAUGCCGAUCGCUGCCGGGUGUACAGUGAGACGCGCAAUCGCCCCGCAGCGGCGCAGCAUCCGGGAUGGCGCCGAGCAGGUAUACAAAUACACUUAAAAUAACCAUCAAGGGGAAGAAAGAAGCAUGUGCCUGUUGAAGCUCGUGCCUGAUGAUGUUGGAAAGUCCUCAUGGCGCAUGGGAGGGGGACCUGUGCUGUCUGCCUGCCCCAAGUGCCGAGCACGACCAGAGCAGGCUAGCCGGUGAUCAACUGUAAAAACCGCGACGCGCCAACACUCUGUUCCUGGAGCUGAUGGCUGUUCCCAUCUUCCUAUCGCCCUGGUUUAGUAGGUUGCGCCACGCAGAGAAAGCUGCCUGUGACCGUUGAACAACGCGUCUGCUCUGCUACAUCUAUUAUAUUGAUUCAGGUGAACGGUCGGGCUUCAGAGAGAUGGCAGCUGCUGCAUCCAUCGAUCCAAGAUGAAUGAAGAAUGACAAUCCACAGCUUCACCAGCAAAGCCAGGAAAAAGAACAUAUUACACACACUGCGGUUUACAGUGCACUCAUGGCAUCAGGAUACGUAUUUGCUGCGACUUGAGCAUCAGCGUUUGCGCGCCCACCAAGCAAAUUGGAUGGCAAUUAUUGCGUGGGUGGCGACGGAUCCGUCGGUUGGCCAGAACCGCGACUCCAAGUGUAUGUACGCACAGUCGUACACCGGUACGCAGACCUCUCCUCUCCCUUCCGAAACAACUCUCGACCGACCUGCUGGCGUGCUUAGUCAAACGUGAUUAGCCCUUGUUGCUGAUUAAUCAGUCUGAACAUUUAUGAGCCCGGGGCCGGACGAGGUGUCA